UCACCGUGGAAAGUUUUACUAGCAAUAUUGAUGGGUUAAUAACACCUUUCCUUUGCCUAUUGCAAGCAAAAACAAAUGGCAACCUCAACCUAUGAGGAAGACUAUCAUCUCCAGUAUGCUAUGCAACUUUCAAGUGCAUCAGUGCUGCCUCUGGUUUUGAAAGCAGCAAUAGAGCUAGGUGUGUUUGAGAUAAUAGAAAAGGCCGGUCCUGAUCCCUUGCUCUCAGCUUCAGAUAUUGUCGCUCAAUUUCCCACACAAAACAACCCGGAAGCCCAUAUUCUGCUAGACCAUAACCUCUGCCUGCUCGCAAGAGGUUAUAUGGAUUAGCACCUGUGGCCAAAUACUUGACCAAGAACCAGGAUGGAGGAUCGUUGAGUCCCUUUUUAGCUAUGAUUCGUGACAAGGUUAUGAUGGAUAUGUGGUACCACUUAAAAGACGCAGUUCUGGAAGGAGGGAUUCCAUUUGAAAAGGCUCACGGGAUAAAUUCUGCAGAAUAUCUAAAAAAGGAUGCAAGAUUUUGUGAGCUAUUCGGCAGUUCCAUGAAAAGUUUCAACGUUUCAUUUAUGGAGACAAUUCUGGACAUAUAUGAUGGAUUUGAAGGUGUAAAAUGCUUUGUGGAUGUGGUUGUUCGCUAUUAUAGAAUGCGCUUAUAUAAGAAAUACUGUAUAGAAAAUAUUGUAGACAUACUCCUAUGUAGUAACCUCCAUCAUUGCCGCCAACUUCUCUCUCUCCACCAUUGGUGCAGCACAACCGGCCAGCCAUCCCCAAGUUACUGUUAGUGGUGCCUUCUCCCCCACAACAGCCUCCACUUGCAAAGCUUGUCUCUAAUUCUUCCUCCUAAGUCCUUGUCGUUCCUUUGCCUCUCAUGGAACACACACUCCAACUAUUGUUCCUUUAGCGAACACCCACCAAGUCAUUUCGUUGAAACUUAUGAACACAAAUUAUCUCUAUUGGAGAAUACAGAUAAAGUCAUUUCUUCUUGGUCAAGGUGUUUUUCACUUCGUUGACGGUUCAGUGACAUGUCCUCCAUCUCAUAUUUUUGACAAUUCUGUUGAUUCUUCCCCUACCAUCAACCUUUCUUUUCUUCAUUGAAAGCAAUAGGAUAAACUAAUUUUGAGUGCUUUACUCUCCUCUCUCUUAGUGGAUGUGUUACAUCUCGUGGUAGAUUGUUCUACCUCACAUUUUGUUUGGUACACUCUUGAGAAAGUGUUUGCCUCUCCAUCUAAUUCUAGCAUCUUGCAACUCUAUGGCUCCUUUCAAGACCUACAGCAAGGUGACUUAUCGGUUACUAUAUACAUGCAUCAAGCUAAAUCGCUAUUUGAUAAACUUGUUGCUACUGGUCGCCCCAUGUCUCUUGAAGACUUUAAUCUUUAUAUGUUUUGUGACCUUUGUGGCAAGUUCAAAGACCUGGUAAUAAAAUUGUAUGUACUUCUA